CCCUUAGAUGUUCUGGGCCGCACGCGCGCUACACUGAUGCAUUCAACGAGUUUCUUCCUGGUCCGAGAGGAAUGGGUAACCUUUUGAAAGUGCAUCGUGAUAGGGAUAGACUAUUGCAAUUAUUGGUCUUCAACGAGGAAUUCCUAGUAGACGUAGUUCAUCAGACUGCAUCGAUUACGUCCCUGCCCUUUGUACACACCGCCCGUCGCACCUACCGAUUGAAUGGUCCGGUGAAAUCUCGGGACGGCGGCUUGGUCGCUUGCGUCCGACUGCUGAAACUUGAUUAAACCAUAUCAUUUAGAGGAAGGUGAANUCGUAACA
rnacentral:rRNA from 1 species